rnacentral:rRNA from 1 species
UACGUAGGGUGCGAGCGUUAAUCGGAAUUACUGGGCGUAAAGUGUGCGCAGGCGGCCGAGCAAGUCGAGUGUGAAAUCCCCGGGCUUAACUUGGGAAUUGCGCUCGAAACUACUUGGCUUGAGUGUGGCAGAGGAAGGUGGAAUUCCACGUGUAGCGGUGAAAUGCGUAGAUAUCGGGAGGAACACCAGUGGCGAAGGCGACUACCUGGCCUGUUCUUGACGCUGAGGCGCGAAAGCUAGGGGAGCAAACGGG